rnacentral:rRNA from 1 species
GGACAGCAGCACGCGGCAGGAGCUCGCCACCGAAGUCCCCCGAGCACCGUCCGCCCGGAAUCUGGCCGGGAACCGGACGAGGCCGAGCCAUCGCGCCCAGAUCCGCGCGUGGCUCAGCGCCACAACCACCACCACCGGAGAUCCAACAGAGACCAGCAGCCCCACGACCUCUACCUCCCAACCCCCGCCUACCUGCCGCCCCAGCCAGUGCGUCGUCCUGUGCACUCCGCCGCCGGCAGCAAGAGCUUGGACGCCGCUACCACGCAGACUCCUCCCGGCGGGGCACAACCGCCACAGGAAUCUGGAAUGGCGUAUCACAUAGAGAAGUUCGACCCGGACAACCGCUUCAGUUCGAUGUCACUGCAUAGUGCAGCUUUUUUAUGCUCUUUUCUUGCU